rnacentral:rRNA from 1 species
GAUGAACGCUGACAGAAUGCUUAACACAUGCAAGUCGACUUGAACUUCGGUUUGGGUGGCGGACGGGUGAGUAACGCGUAAAGAACUUGCCUCACAGUUAGGGACAACAUUUGGAAACGAAUGCUAAUACCUGAUAUUAUGAUUUUAGGGCAUCCUAGAAUUAUGAAAGCUAUAUGCGCUGUGAGAGAGCUUUGCGUCCCAUUAGCUAGUUGGAGAGGUAACGGCUCACCAAGGCGAUGAUGGGUAGCCGGCCUGAGAGGGUGAACGGCCACAAGGGGACUGAGACACGGCCCUUACUCCUACGGGAGGCAGCAGUGGGGAAUAUUGGACAAUGGACCAAGAGUCUGAUCCAGCAAUUCUGUGUGCACGAUGAAGUUUUUCGGAAUGUAAAGUGCUUUCAGUUGGGAAGAAAAAAAUGACGAUACCAACAGAAGAAGUGACGGCUAAAUACGUG